UUUUUUUUUUUACAAAGGUUGAUACAUAGGUUAACUUCUAAAUUUAAUUAACUUAGAAAACAUAACAUAAUCCUAUAGUUAACAGGUUUGUCCAAAAUAAUCAGCAGAUGCCAUAAUCAAUUGAUUUUGUUAAACAAAAUCCCAAUUAAAACCAAAAUUAUAACAUUGUUCGGUAAAACCAAAAUCACAAUUAAAACCAAAAUUAUAACAUUGUCCGGUAAAAAUAAAAUCUCAAUUAAAACCAAAAUUAUAACAUUAUCCGGUAAACCAAAAUCACAAUUAAAACUAAAAUUAUAACAUUGUCCGGUAAAACUAAAAUUACUUAUAAGAUUAUAACCUUACCUUAUUUUAUUCCUUAAAAAAAAAACUUACCUUAUUUUAUUCCUUAAAAACAAAAUUAAAAAAAAAACUUACCAUAUUUUAUUCGUUAAAAAAAAAAUAAAAAACCUACCUUAUUUUAUUAUAAAAUAUCCCUAAUUAAACUAACAUUGUCCGGUAGACACGUGUCCCGUAUUCCGAUCUGAGAAAUCUCAGUUUCUGCUUCCUUCUAACUACGCGAGGGUCACAUCCAACGGUCAGAUCGACUAAACAUGCUUCCGUUCAAAUGUUAGAAACGUUUCAGUCACCAGGGAGCUGUCCUUCCUAGUUUACUAGGCUUCUGAAGGUAUAGUUUGUCCGGUAGACACGUUUCCGGGAUUCCGAUCUGAGAAAUCUCAGUUUCUGCUUCCUUCUAACUACGUGAAGGUCACAUCCAACGGUCGGAUCGACUAAACAUGCUUCCGUUCAAAUGUUAGAAACGUUUCAGUCACCGGGGAGUUGUCCUUCCUAGUUUAAGGGGCUUCUGAAGGUAUAGUUUGUCCGAUAGACAUGUUUCUGGGAUUCCGAUCUGAGAAAUCUCAGUUUCUGCUUCCUUCUAACUACGCGAAGGUCACAUCCAACGGUCGGAUCGAGUAAACAUGCUUCCGUUCAAAUGUUAGAAACGUUUCAGUCACCGGCGAGUUGUCCUUCCUAGUUUAAGGACCAUUAUUUUGGAUUACUACAUAGGUAAACAAGCUUCCCAGUUUAUCUAUUUUAUAAAGAAUGUUGAUAUAGUAAAUGUCAUUGUGGACACUAAUUAAUUUUCAAUACAUUCCAACAAAGUUAAAACCAAAAUGGUCCCCAUUCAUAAUAAAUACAAAAUUCAUUACCCCACACACAUCUUGCCUUUAAAGAGAAGGCCACCCAACAAGAAACCAUAACCACACACAUCCUAGUUCAACUCAAACAAAGAUCUAGUUCCUCAACUAGGAGCAUUCAAAGGACCCAAUGAGUUCAUCUUUAAGGUUGCAUCUCAAUUUUUUACACCCUCCUUUUUUUUUUUUUUUUUUUUUGCGUGUGUGUGGAUAUAAUCAUAAGCUUGCUAACUUUUCUUGCUCUUGGUUCAUAUAUGCAUAAGGUUGCUAGCUGAUAUUUGCACAUAAAUCCAACUUGUAGCACUAACUGAUCUAACUUUUCACAUAUAAAACAACUUAUUAAAUCCAACUUGGUUCAUACUAUUAUGCCAGAUUUUUUUAUAUAAUUAUCAUUUCAACUCUGAUUCAUGUUAAUGAAAUUAUUAAAUGCAGCGUUGAAAUGGAUCCGGAGUUGGCUGAAUUUUACGAGAAUUUUUACCCCGUUGAAGAUGAAGAUCUUGUUGAAGAAUGGAUUGCUAACUUUGACCAUGUUGAUGACUAUGUUUGGAUGGUCAAGGUUACUACUUCUUUGAUUCAAUUAAAAAAUGUUCUGGUGCGUUUGUAUAUCUUGAAUCAACUAUUUCAUGCUUCAUAAGUUGUAUUUAAUGUUAGUUUACCUUUUGAUUCAUUUGACAUUUUUGUGUGCAGCAUAUUCCUAAGCACGUUGUCAUUCAAAGCUUUCAAGUGAAUCCAAUGAAAUUUUACCAAUGAAGUGAUUAUUGCUUUUCCAUUAAAAAAAUGAUUAUUGCGUAAAAAAUUUAUAACAAAGUGAUUAGUUUUGACAUUGAGUCGAGGAAGGAUAAUUCGAUUUACAUUUUGUUAGCCUAGCGACUCAUUAACAUCACGCAUCCCCAACCUCCUGUCCUAUUUAUAGCAUCAACUAGGAGGAGCAACAACUUACGAUUAUCCAUGGAUCAAGCGACAUAACUAUCUUUGUCUUUAUCCUUUUCUCCGUUAUUUUCUUUUUUGUUAUUUUCUUGUUGUGAAUCUCGCAUUUGAUCACUAAUAUAUAUAAGGAACAAACUAAUUUUUUUUUCUUUUUUGACAAAACAAGGAACCAACUAUUUUUCACAAGAACAAUUGUUGUUUCCUAAUUGUCAAAAGCAUAGUGACUAUAUAAAAUCUCAAGGGUUUGUGUGAGAUUGUUGAAUGGGAGUAGUAUUUUAUACUUUUGACUAAAAAGUCUCACAAAAUCCAUUCAAUCCAAGAAUUCAUCAAAAUCUAUAGACUUUUGAAUACCAAGAGACAAUUUACAAGUCAUGAGAAAUCUCAAUUGAAUAUCAACGGAAUUGGUUGUCCUGAAAUAAAAGUCAUGAUUGUCUUAAUUGAAUACCACAAAUUUUUUUUAUAUUUUAUAAAAGUCUUGAUUGAAUACCACCAAACUUUUUUAUUAUAAAAAAGUCUUUUAAAAUCCUUUUAAAUUACAAUCCAAUACACCUCCUUAUUAUGUUCAUAGUUUUAUUUCUCUAGUUUUAUUAGCUAAUCUUAAAAUUGUAGCCUUUUAUUGAGAUUUUAACUUAUUUUUAUUAUUCUUUUCUUUUAUGAGGCUUGUUAAUUUAUUUUUAUUUUUAAAGAAAAGAAAACAAACGCACUCCUUGGAGAGACAAAAUUGAUUUGAAAUAAUAUUCACUUGAGCUGGGCUUUACAUAUUACAAUUAUAUCUUGGCUUAUUUAUAAGUUUAGUUCCCGCAAUUAAAGGUCACUUGUGUUUCAGUCAGGAAUUUGUUUACCCUUUCAAUUUUACCUUGUAAAUAUUAAUUACUCGAGUUUUGGUCUCUGAGUUCAUAACUUUGCUGAGGUGACCGUGGUUAGAUGACGUGUCCAAUGUUGACUAGGAUAAGUGGUUGCCAACUCAACAAGAAAAACUUGAAAGGACGACUUUACCCUUCAUUGUUAUUGAAAAAUGGGAAAAGACAAAAACACACUACUUCAAGCUUCCCUUCUAAACUUGAUUCAAUCUUUAAAUUCAUUAAACAAUAAUUAUAUCUGUAAUUUUGUUUGAAGGAAUAGUAGUAUCUAUAAUAUUGACCAAGAUAUAUAUAUAUAUAUAUAUAUAUUUGAUUUAAAUGUGUCAUUGGUCCCUGCACUUUCAUCAGAUUUUGACAUUGAUCCCUGCACUUUUUUUGUUUGGCAUUGGUCCUUGUACUUUGUAAAAAUAUUGGUAUUGGUCCCUCUGUUAACUUUCUGUUAAAAAAAAAUACAAAACCAACGGAGUGCCACGUGGUCCAAUCAUUUCACACCACGUGGCACCAAUAUCAAUAUUUUUACAAAGUGCAGGGACUAAUACCAAUAUUUUUACAAAGUACAGGGACUAAUACCAAUAGUUUGGUGUUUUUUUUAACAGAAAGUUAACAGAGGGAUCAAUACCAAUAUUUUUACAAAGUGCAGGGAUCAAUUCCAAACAAAAAAAAGUGUAGGGACAAAUGCCAAAAUCUGAUGAAAGUGCAGGGACUAAAGAUAUAUUUAAGCCUAUAUUUUUUUAGACAAUUGACCAGGAUAAAUUAGUUAUUCAACGAAUUUAAUUUGAAAGUGUAUUAUAAAAAAAUUAGGAAAUUUUUUUUUUUGGUUCAAGGGUUAUAUAUGUUUUUUUUAGGUGGCGCCGGGGUUCGAACCCGAACUUUAUAUAUAUUAUACAUUGUUCAUAUCGAUUGAGUUAAGCUCGCGAGAACGGCUUAUAUGUGUGUUUUAUUAACACAAAAGGAUCCUUAAAAAAAUAAAAUAUUUUUGAAAAAGGGUUAUGUUAAAAUAGCUAGCAAGGUGUGUGAAUUAUUUUUGUUGACUGGAGGGAAAAUAGUUGUUAGCAGUAGAAAGAAGAGAGAGAGAGAGUGUUUCCUCCUUCUCCUCUUGUUUUGGGUAUUUUUGUUCGACAGCGCCGAGGGAAGAGAAGAGAAGAGAGAGAAACAAAAAAAAAAGUGAGAUAUGGAUUUGGACCAAUGGAUCUCGAAGGUUAAAGAUGGCCAACAUCUUCUCGAAGACGAACUUCAACUUCUCUGCGAAUACGUAUUCUCCUCUCUCCCUCUCUCUCGCUUUCUUCUCUUUUUAGGGUUUCACUUUCAAUCGAUUCUUGCUCAAUUCAUUCUCAACGUGUUUAAUUUUCGACUUCAAUUUUGUAUUAUGUUUAUUGUCGUUGCGCAUUGGGGAGAAAUUUUAGGGCUUUCUUUGGUUCGGUUCAAGAUUUAUAUGUAUUUUCUGUUAUUAUUGUUUUAAUUUUAAUUUAUUAUGCUGUUUUAAUUGUGUUUAAUUAUUUUUGUUUAGUUUAAGUUUGAAAUUGAAGUGAUUAUUAUUAUGAAUGUUUCAGGUUAAAGAGAUCUUAAUUGAGGAAUCCAAUGUGCAACCUGUGAAUAGUCCAGUAACUGUUUGUGGUGACAUUCAUGGUCAGUUUCAUGAUCUAAUGAAACUUUUUCAGACCGGUGGGCACGUGCCCGAGACGAAUUACAUUUUUAUGGUAUUUUAUUUUAUUUUACUAUGUUUUGUUAUUUAUUAUUGGAUCUGGAUGAUGUUUUUGGUAUGUAUAUUUAGUGAUUGUUUUUGUGUUGCUGAAUGUGUUUUAGGGUGACUUUGUUGAUCGCGGUUAUAAUAGUCUCGAAGUAUUCACUAUCCUUUUGCUUCUAAAAGCUAGGUAUGUUGCUUACAUCUGUCUUAACUUAGCUUGUUUUCAUGUGACUUUGAGUAAUAUUGCGGCCACUUUGUAGUUUUGUGACUUUCUAAUUUAUUCGUCGUGUUUGGCUGUGAAGCACUGACACAGACAUAUACAACACGACCCAGAUGAUAAUUUUAGGAAUGAUUUAGAAAUUAAUGAGUUGGACCGAAAUGUAGUUUAUGAUAGAACAUUAUGGCGUAUUUUGAUCCACGUGGCCGAUCCCACUUAGUAGAAAAAGGGUUGCUACUUGUUGUUUUUGUGGAACUUAUGUAACCAAUAGUAUCAGUGUCAGUCACUGGACAAGACACGACACACCUUCAUUGUGAACUGACAAUGCUACAUAGGUGUUUAGAUCUUGAAUGUUCAGAGUUAUUUGGUCUUUCUAAAUACUUUUCCUUUUAUUUAAUCAUCUUUUAACUUUUUCUUUGAUUUUGUAGAUACCCUGCUAAUAUAACCCUUCUACGUGGAAACCAUGAAAGUAGACAACUCACACAGGUAUAUGUUUAAUGUACUUGGCUAUCAUGCAUGAUAUGAAUUACUGUAGGCUUAAGCUAACAUUUUAGGCAGAAGAUUGGAAAUUAUUAAAGGUUUCUGCUUUGUGUCAUUUUAGCAAGCCAAUGUUGUCAAUUGUAUAUUGCAAAAAGUAGCGGUUUGUUCAAAUUUCCGGUUAUAGCAAGCUAAUGAUCUUUUGUUUUUGAGGGGGACACCUAUAGGCCUUUUGUUCAAAUUCCUGGCUAUAGCAAGCCUUUUUGUGGAAGGGCUGAAUCGUUAACUGUGACAAAACUAAUGGGUCUUGAUUUGUUAAAAUAAAUUAGGAGUCUGUUGGUUAUAUAAUUGAUUCAGUGAUGUAAGGAUUUGUGAACUAUCAUUCUUGUUUUUCUUUUUUACUCCUGCUCUUGCUGUAUUAAGAAAUGUCUAAAUUUAUGGAUUUCUAUUACGAGAUCUUACAACUUUGAUGAUAAUUUUUGAAAUGCCAUUAGAAAUUAGAGAUGAGAUAAGUUGCCAAUUGAUGUUAAUUUUGUGUAAUUUAAUAUUUUGCUAGGUCUAUGGAUUUUAUGAUGAAUGCCAGAGAAAGUAUGGAAAUGCUAAUGCUUGGCGAUAUUGUACCGAUGUUUUCGACUAUCUUACACUUUCUGCAAUUAUAGAUGGAACUGUAAUUCUCCUUCCUUCCCUCCUUCCUCUCUCUAUUCCCUAUUCACAUUUAAGCAGUGCAUGCGCUUUUUAUUUAUUUUUAAUUAUGCUUUAAGAAAACGUAACUCUCUUAUAUGCUAUGGUCGACCCAGGUGCUUUGUGUUCACGGUGGCCUUUCUCCAGACAUCAGAACAAUUGACCAGGUUCUCUAGCUCCCUUCUCAGUUGCUGGUCGAAAUCAACAUUUUCUAUGUAUCUAUGUAUUAUACUAUAGCCCUCUACGGAAAUAAGUUGAAGAUAGGUUAUUGAUGUGUCAUAAGCUCUUUCUAUUAGCUCUCCUAAACAAUCUCGCAAAUGUUUAUGUCAGUAGAUAACCUCAAAUAAGCUAAUCCAAAUAUGCCCUAAGUGCAGUUGGAAUAACUUAUUUUGUGUUUAGAAGAACAUAAUAAGAAUGACACAUAAUUUUCUCUCAAAAGCUGUCCUUGUUAAAAUUAAGCAAACCCAAAUUUGUGCCAUGCCAACUUACAAUAUAUAAUGGCUAGUUGUCUUACAUCAGUGUCAAAUACUUUUUUUUGCAAAUUUUUUAAUUUACAUUGUGUAUGUAAAUUUGUCCACCCUUUUACCACAACAUAUUAAUAGGGCUGAUAUGUGUAUAUGACAUGCUUGUAUUUUUGGUACCUCUUGAAUUUUGACUUCCGUUUUCAUAUUGUGUGUCUUUUAUUUAAAUAUGAUAUUGAUAACACUGCACAUAAUUGGAUGCUAUAUUUCUCCUUUUUCCUUACUUUAUUCUAGGAAAUCAGAGAGGUAUCAGCAAUAGCCUGUUUGGUUUGAAAACAUGUUUUCUGUUUAUUAUUUUCUGUUUUCCCGGUUACUUACAUUUUGCAAAAAUGCCACCCUGAUUUUACUUUUCACUUUAUUUCCUGAUAUCAAGAAGAUCUGUAUAGGGAUAAUCAGGGUGACGUUUUUGUGGUUAAAAGUCAAACCAAAACAAGCUGUAAUGUGUUCUGUGAUGAUUUGACGUCAGAAAACUUUCAGUUUCAUUUUGCUGUACCUGUUUGGUUAAUUAUUAACUUUUAACAAUAACUGUUAGUCUUGAAAUAUAAAUGAUAUAUUCUGUAAGUUUAUUUCUCAGCACCAUAAUAAAAAAUUUAUAUGCUAUUGUUGGAUAAUUUACUGUUAAUUCUAUAGCUGAAAUAUUGUUUCUUACUUUUUUAGAAGGUUAACGACUAUGUAUAUUGUUUAAAAUAUAGUAAUAUAAACUUACAAACUUUAUGACAGAUAAGAGUCAUUGAGCGGAACUGUGAAAUUCCUCACGAGGGGCCAUUUUGUGAUCUAAUGUGGAGUGAUCCUGAAGAUAUUGAAACGUGGGCAGUCAGUCCACGUGGAGCAGGUUGGCUUUUCGGAUCCCGGGUUACAUCUGAGGUAAUGUCAUGGAUUGUCAAUUGCUUAUUGAAUUGAGCUUUAUGUGUGGGUUUUACUGAUUCAUUCUUUUCAUGCAGUUCAAUCACAUAAACAACCUUGAUCUUGUUUGUCGGGCACAUCAACUUGUACAAGAAGGACUUAAGUACAUGUUCCAAGAUAAAGGCCUUGUAACUGUAAGUAUCUGAAUCUUAUAAAAAUUUAAGAAGACUUUGAUGAUUCGUUUUUUUGAUCAACUGGUCUUUUGAGGUGUUUCGUCCGGUCAUGUUAAAAGACUAUAAAGGCUCUAGUCUGAAAUAGUCCAAUCAAUAGGGGGUAAAGGCUCUAGUAUUUUAAGUAAGUGAGCUUAAGCUUACUGUUUGAGGGGACUCAAUUAUUGUCAGGUGGGGGAGCAUUGUGGGGCAAAAUCAGGCUACUACAGCUUCUCCGUUGCUGAGUAUUUUGGAGUAGUUGUCGUGGGUGUUAUCCCUCAAUCUUAUCCCAUAAAUAUCUAAGGAUGAAUACAUCCAGACUAGCUCAAUUUACAGACAAAUCACUUGAGAAGGGCUUUUUCCCAUUUACUAAUCCAUUUAGAUGGUCCCACCUUGUGGGAUAAUUUGCUUGGUAGCUAUUGUAUUUAAUUUUCUAAAAAUAAUGAUUCCAGAUUUAUUUGAAAAUAUUGAGCUAAAUAAGGUAUUUUUUAAAUUUGCAGGUAUGGUCUGCACCUAAUUAUUGUUACCGUUGUGGAAAUGUAGCUUCUAUUCUUAGUUUCAAUGAAAAUAUGGUGAGUCAACUGAAGCAUUUUUACUUUUAAGUACAUUUUAAGGAAUGUCUUGAUUGUUGCAUAAUUUGGUCUCAUGGUGUAUGUGUGCCUUUGUUUUUUUGCGUAUCUCAUGGAAAGAACUUUUCACUUUAUUCUGUUUUUCUUUUUAGCAUCCAAUAGUAUUUCUUCUUGUAUGGCCUUCAUGUUAAAGAAAUCAAGAGACAGAGGAGAAUACAUUUCUCUUUACUCCUAUAGUUGUUGGAAGUAAGAGGCAUUUAUUUUAAAAAUUUGGAUGGUGCUAUUAUGCAAAACAAUGACUUCUUUGAGGGAUAGUUGGCGCGUCCAAUACCAUUGGAACACAUGUAUGCAUGACAUGUCAGAUUGUCAGUCACAUAUGGGGUAUCAGAGAAAGUACUUUUGAAUGACUGUUACCAAUAUAUAUCAUGUACCCGAUGGUAUCAGCGAUUUAGAUGCUUUACAAUAUUUCUUCUUAGUUCAAAGUGUUUGCUUUAAUGUUAGAGGAUUUUCUCAUGAAAUUGGAUGGUGAAAGGGAGGUCAUUAGGGAUGAAAAUAACAGGAGAAUAUGGCAAUUGCAUUUCCCCCCUGAAGCUGCUAAUGCCUGUUAAGAUCAGUUUUAAAUACAAAUAUAUCAUGACGUGUCCCAAGGCUUUAAACUUUGAACAAACUAAAAUCAUAAAAAUAUUUACAAAGAAACCAUAUUAAAAAAUCAAUUAAUCUGCAAAGGAAGUUACUAAUUUUCUUGUAGAUGGCUGUUGAAAUUUUAGGAAUCAGAUGUAAAGAAAAGAAAUGAGAUGUAGAUCGAAUGCAUGAAAAUAUUAGUGUACUAACGAGGCUUUGAUUAGCUGCGAUAUAAAUUGUAAUACAUAUAAAACAGACCCAAUUUUUUAUAUACUAAACUAUGACUUAAAAAGACCAAAAUGUUGAAAAAAAGUUGUUUAGGACACUAGAAACUAAAGUAGGACAUAAUUGACAUGCUCAGACUGGAAAGUGGUAUGAUUGGUCAGUGUCGAUCUGGGAAGGUUUUCAACUAUGAGCUCUGGUUUCCCUGUGAUCGGAUUUCCCUAAUUCUAAUAGCAGGAUCUAUUUGGCAAGAUGAUAAGAUGACAAUUUUAGUAGGAUUUUUGGGCAACUGAACGGUAAAACAUCAAUAAGCUUAGGCAACAGAGAGAUUGGAAAGGCAUCUGUGGGAACUCUGUGGUCCAAAUGAGGGCGCAGCCUUCUCAAGGAAUGACAAAAAUGGGGUGUUGCGACAAUGUAUGAGGUGGCUGGCAGGAUAGAUCAAAGAUCAAACAGGAAUUAAUGUAACCUUAAAACAGAACAAAAAUAGUGGGUAACAAAUGUAGUCAAAAUUUUGGAGACUUGCUGCAGAACUUAAACCAAAGGUCGUGCCCGAUGUGUGAAAAAUUGGAAGAUAUAUGAAAGCAACAUGAACAUAGAUUUUUCUUACGAGACUGAGUAACUGUGAUGCCAUACCCUUGAUUUAUUUACACAAUUGUUUGACUAUGAAAAGAAAAAUAUUCCCUUUAUUUUGGAUUGCUCUGUAAGUAGUAUUGGACCUCAACAUUGUUAUAAUUUGGUUUGUAUUUUUGGUAUCGAUCUCUACAUACUUGCAGUUACAGUUUUAACCUUUAUGAUAAAUGCUAGGAACACUCUUUUUAACACUCACUCUCCUAUUGAAUGAAACUCUUGUAGUGUCACCACUUUAUGUGGGAUCCAUUUCCAAAGUGUGGUACCUACAUAAAUUUCACUCAAUAAGAGAGUUGAGUGUUAGAGUAUUUUAGAAAGAGUGUCCGUAUCACUCCCUCCUCUAACCUAUUUAGAUCCUUCACUACAAGGGAUAUAUAUCCUUGUCUAGUCACACAACUGCUUUUUGAGUUAGGCUGUAUGUCUGGUCCAAUCCAAUAGUUAAAAAAACUCAAUAAAUAAAAUAGAAAAGGGGGUCAACAAAUACACUUUCUUAGUUACAUAAUAAGCACGUAGUUUUGAACUCAUUUUCAAUUUUUGGUGUUGGAAAUAGUUGGGCUAUGGCUGGUACAUGCCGUUAAGGCGACAAUUACUUUGUUUUUUUUUUUUUUCUCUUUAAAUGCUGUAUCCCUGCUAUUUAUUUGAUUUGAUCUUAAGGUGGUAAAUGUACUUAACUCUGUGUCAGGCCUAGUGAAAUUACUGCUUUGUAACAUGCACAUUUGUGUGUUGAAACAUUUGUUUGUGUCAUGAAAGUGCAUAGAUAUAAUACAUGCUAUCUUGUAAACUUGGAUUUUGAUGGUUGUUAUCCUGCUUAUAUGUUACUAGCAUUUUGGUUGCUGACCCUAGGAUGUUUUCUUGUAACAGGAGAGAGAAGUUAAGUUUUUCACUGAAACAGAGGAGAACAAUCAGAUGAGAGGGCCUAGGACAGGUGUUCCAUAUUUCUUAUAAUUUGGCAAAGGUUUGGGUGAAUUUAUUGUAAAAUUAUGCAGUAAAUGGCUUUCUAUUAUGAUUGGACAGUGUUAGUCAUGUAUUGUGGAGAUUCAAAUGCAUUGUUUUUUCUUAGGUGAACUCUAUUUUUGUUUUAGUAUUUUUUGUCUUCCACCAAAUAUUUAACAUUCUAGUUUCGCAAUCUUUUGUACAAUACAAUAUUGAAAAGUGUAUUUCUCAGUUCUCACGAUGAAAAAGUACAGUGAUAUAUGCAAGUUCGUUACAAGUAUGUGGCACUUUUCACCUACAUAUUUUUGUUACAAAAAAAAUGAAUAACGAAUCUCAACUCAAGCAUACAUUUUCAUCACCAUCCUUUUCUAUGUUGUUUGAACGAGGUUUCUAGGAAUGUAAUUGUUAUAAAUGGAUUUCCAUAUAAUUAAAGUAAAGUAAUUUGGCAGAUGAGAAUACAUGAUAGUAUGUUACGGUGGUAUGGUGUUACUUAUUCUUCAGCAGUAAAAUUACCGGCAAAAAAGUUAUUAUCAGGCAAAGAAAGAACCAAGUCUCAAUAUUUUGAAAGUGUUUUUUUACAGGCAAUGUUAGACAAUAAGAUCUUUGUUUUAACAAUCCCAUUCGAGUUAUGCUUUGAAUAUGUAUUUUGAAAUCUUUGGACAACAUCCCAAUCUUAUUCUGCAGAGGUUCAAAAAUAGUGAGUGAGCUACGAGUGAUAACAGGGCCAACUACAACUCUUGUGAAACAAAAAUGUGAGAGCAGGAGCAACAAGAAGAGUUGGAAAGACAUUAAUUUCUGUUUUUUUUUUUUUUUUUUUUACACUAUUAAUCAAUCAUAACCAUUGGAUUAUUGAAAACUUUUGACUUUUAAGUUUGGUUACUUUAAAAGUCAUUCAAACUAGUGAUUGUGAUUUAUCGACAAUGUUACUUGACAACAUAUAAAAAUUAAUUUUUUAUUAAAAUGUAUAACUUUUCCUUCGAAAAAAGAAAUUAAAAUGUAUAGCUUUUUUGUGAUUAAAAAAGUUAAAACAAACUAUUUUUUCUCUAAACGAUGAAAUGUGUCUGGUUAAAAUAUACUCUUUUGCCUUUUGAACAAACUUAUUCUACCGUGUCUACAAAAAAAGUUUAUUCUACCAUAUAAAAAAUGACAAUUGAACUCAAAACAUACCUAAGAGCAUUUAGAUGAGAUAAUAAGUGAUUUUUUCGAGCCUAAUUAGAGGUCAUAGGUUUGAAUUAAGCCCUACAAGAAAAUGCGGCAGUGUUAACCAUUGGGGUCGUAUCCAAUUGCGAGUAGAGAAGUUAUUUUUUGCAACGUCUAAUAUAUUUAUUAUCUUAAAAGAAACUGAUAUACUUAUUACAUUAAGUUGAACAUAAAAAAAAAAAAAACUAAAUAAAUUGAACUACAAUGAAUAAAAAAUGAGACUACCUAUAAAAAGCAUUACAAAAGCAAUUGGGAAUAAUAAAAACUAAAUCCGCGAGGAGGAGCCAUGGAGAGGGUAGUCGUGUUAACAACAUAGAGGAGGUGUGAUCUCCGUUGUUCUUCCAAGGCAGAGAUAGCGGCGAUCCAGCCAAAGCUGAUAGCAGAUCACCAUCAACGAGACAGCCGAAAACAAGAGAGCCAAUGCGAAGAACACAAAUUCUACACGACGAUGGUGGUGAGCCUUGGUAAUAUCAUGGUUUCUUUCUGCGAAGAUCAGGAUCAUGUUUGGUAAAUGUGAUCGGACUGAGAAGAUUGAGGCUGAAAAUAUCUUGCAAACCAAGAAACUUCGAAAGAGAGGAGUGUGGGUUUUAUGUAUUCCAGGUGUUGCUGAAGGUGUAUGUAUUUUGCACAAGAUUAAAUAUAUUGUUUAACAUGUUAUGACGAUUCCAACUAUCAAUACUAGAUGAAUGUUGUCUAGUAGGGAGGCAUACCUUCACUCUCCAGAUGAUUCUUUUUAUCGGUGAAUGACUUGCGAGCUGCCAAAUGAUCUUCCAGAUUCUACUUUCUUUGAGAUGUUCACUAUCAACUUAAUUUGUUAAAGCUAGGUGUUAAUAUUAAGAUGAUCUCAUUGAAUAACACUUUUCUUCAUCUAGUUCCAAACCAACUUGUCUUUCAUAGCCAAUGCAAUUAAAGGUGUGACUAAGAUGCAUUGGCUUCUGCAUAACAUCUUCUCAUUGAAUAAUUUUCAUUCUAAUAUGAAUGUAUGAUAGUUGGGAAUUUGGAAAAUGCUGCCUUACUUGUAGAGCAAGGAAUAGAAAAUCAAGAGAAGGGAGAAAAAUAUUCAUUCCCAUCACACUGAAAUUGAAAUAAAAUGCUCAAGGGUUUGUUCUUACUGCCACUUUCUUUUGCCUAGAGUUUUCUGCAUGUUUCUGGAUGGUACAGAAGACAUAUAGGCUUGUGUUUUGCUCCUUAUGAAGGCAACUUUAUUAGCUCAUUGGAUUUUUAUGUCAUUGGUAAUUUGAUUAGCCUUGUUGGAUUUUUAUACCCUUACAUUUAAACCCUCACCCCAAUAUUUGACAUGAACUAUCUAUUUUACCUUGUUUAUAAACUUAAAACACUUCAUUUUUUCAUUUGUCUCACAAAAUUUUUCAAACGUUUCUGGUUUGCUAAAGAGAGAGUGAAAGAGUAAGUAUCAAUUGCUAUAUUGGAAAACAAUUUUUUAGCUUUCCGGUUUGGAAGAUUCCUCCGGAAAUCAUUAUUUAUCUCUUCCGGUUUGCGUUUUUCUACCGGAAAACAUCAUUUACCUCUCCCGGUUUGUGUUUUUAUACCGGAAACCUCAUCUGAUCGUUUCCGAUUCAGACAUAGCUUCCAGAAAACUCAAAUGAACUAUUCCACUUCAAUUCUGCAUUUCGGAAAACCCAUAGGAAGUGUUCCAGUUUAAUUUGAUCUACCGGAAAACAUAAAACAUGUGUUCCAGUUUAGAAGGGCCCAAAAAGUUGUGGACACGCUGGAAGAAACUCAAAAGGCCCAAAAGUUGGUCGAAGACUUCUAGAAGCUAUGCGCCUCAACUACUACCGACGUGGAGAUUGUUCUUCAUUUUUAUGUAGAUUGUAUAUUUUAUUGCUCAACUUAGUUUAUUAGUUGACUAGUACAUAAGGUAGAAGCUUGACUCUUUCACUUGUAUCAUUUUUCUUUUAUCUUCAAUACAAACUUUUUAACCUUUCUCUCUCAUAUCCUCUGGUAAGUGGUAUCAUGUUUCUCAACAGACAUGAAUCAAUAAUUCUUGUUGAACAACUUCGUAUUACGAUCAAUCCAAAAGACGAUCCAAGACCAAUUUCACAACUCUAGGAGCAUCAACUGUCACAGCUACUUUUACUGUUGGCAUAUUGCACCAUUCAGUGACUUCACCAAACCUGGUUUAUUACAAACAGAAAAAAGAUAUAAGUGAGGUGGCAUAUAAUAACGGUAACGCAAAGACAAAGUCGACAAAUUUGCAAUACAAGAUGAAGACAAGAUAUCAUUACAAAGAGGCUUUUGUUCAACCCCCUCUUCCUAAAACAUCCAUUAUAUUGAACUUUUUCAAUGUUGAAAGCAGUUAAAAAGAGAGCAAACAAUGCCCAAAUGCUCUAUUAUAGAUCAUAUCUUUAGCCGAAAUAUUGACCUCAAAGUCUUUCUUAAUAGUUUUUCUUACAAUUUUCUAGGUCUUUCUCUGUCUCUAGCAAUUGGACUACCCUUCAUCUGAUUUACUUUGUUUACUAUGCAAUCUACAUAUUUCUUCCACAAAUUCCCAAAUCACCUAAGUCGAGAUUCAACCACCCGUUCUACAAUAAGGUCCUACCGCUUGACACUAGCUUUUAAAGUAAGAUUUCCUCAUUUUCUUGUGUUCUUAUCAAAGGAGCACACUGUCCCUCAGCAAUCAGGAACGAGCUUAACAUACUCUAGGUUAUGCUCUCUAUUCUGCUAAAACACUACUCACCAUCAGAGUAUCCCUGUCAUCAUGUCCGGUCCAGCAAGGUACAUGACAAAACCAACUAAGAGGGAUAAGCUUGGUGGUAAUUGUUGUUCUUUAGAGAAUGUUUCAGGACAAAAUUCAAUCCCAAUACCAUCUUAAAAAACUAUUCUGCAUAAUUUCGGUUUGGAAAGAACUGUUAGGAAAUGAGCAUUAGCAUCCCAUAUGAAUAUAGAUAAAUUGAAAAAAUUAUCCCAAGCCCUCCAAGGCCUUAUAUCAACUGCUAGGGGUUUCUACCUUUUCUGUUUAUUUUCGAGUAUUGUAAGUCCCCUUGUAAUACCAUUGGUUUGGACUCUAACGACACCCUCCGUGAAGGUUACAAGUGAAGGAUCAACGACUGCAAGCAACGCUGUUGGGUCAUGAAGGUAAAUUCCUGUAUAAAAAAACUAUAAUUCAUAAAUCAGAUGAUUAAUUCUCUCCGAUUUAUUUGGUGCAGUAUGAAGACUAACCUUUGAUGUUGUAUGCCUUACAAUAGUUAGAGAAAUACACCUCUAAGAUUCCAUUCAAGUAUUGAGCAAAUUUUCCUUUUGAACUUGCCAACUUUUCUCGAUCAGAACCUAGUCAUUUUGUUUUUUGGAUAAGGGUAAACCAAAACAAAUGUGACAGAACAAAACAACUGACAUGAAUCAAAAUUAAAAUAGCAGCAUGAUCAUGUUGUUCGACAUGAAUCAACAAAGAGUUCCAAUGGGGGGUACCUGUAAAUACGACUUGUUGUGUAACGUUUAUCCCCACAGCAAGAACAUCUGCGCCACUUGUGAAUACAACAUCUGCAGCAUCUGGAUCACCUAAUAUCUGGAAUCAAAUCCAACUGAAAAUUUAGAUAGAUCAAGCGGUGAGCGGUAUGACAGUUUUAUGGAGUUUAUUUCAAGAAUUUGAAUGAAAAAUGGAAAUACUUACAUUUGUUUCAGCAGAAGGAUUCACACUUCCAUUUACUGCAAAAGCUCCACCAAGCAGAACAAUCUGACCAAUGUUCUUAGAAAAUUCCGGGUCCAUCUGUAUAGCCUGCCAUGCAGAAUUUUGUCGUGUGACAAAGUACGAAGAGUAACAAAUAACAUAGUUGAAAUUGCAAACAUAUCAUACCAAAGCAAUAUUUGUAAGAGGACCUAAUGCCACAACCGUGAUUUUUCCACGGUUAGCUUUUGCUUGGUUAACAAAAAAAGCAGCAGCUGAUUCUUCAAGGGGUUUUCCAUUUGGUGGUGGAAAAUUUUGGUUGCCAAGUCCAUCUGCACCAUGGACAGAAUCCCUAAUAUGAAGUUUUGUUUCUUUCUGUAAAAGUGAAAUGAGUGAAAAUAAUUAGUCAAGUCAAAUACCAAGUUAUACUACAUAUCAACUAAUUUCAUACUGCAAUUUCUAAGUGACCUCAUCGGCGAGGCAAUCAAUAACAAUGCAUUUGAAAGGGAUACACAGAUUCAACGACACAGAAUCUGACACGUUGACACCAAUAAUAAAUGAUUGAGUGUAACCACAUGUUUCCCGACACUGGACAUGUCUUUAAUCUAAAGUAUUGGUUCUACAUGCAGCUAGCAGAUGACCUUGGUUGCGUUGUGGUCAUAGAGACAUUGAAAACCUUGAAUCGCGGCAAAAGGACCUUCUUUUAACAACUUAUCAAAGUAGAUAUACGAGUUGUUACACACUUACAGUUAAUGUGACAUGAGAUCCUUCAGCAACUGGUAUAUCAGUUCUUCCAGCAAACUCCAACUACACAAAUGCAAAUUUAGUAUCAAAAGCGGAUUUCAUCACUAAUACUGUUUUGAAUUCAACAAGAGUGGAACAACAAGCAAAUAGGGAAUCAACCUAGAAAAAAUUUAGAACAUAUGUGUAAUGCAAAUGAAAAUCAUCAAUCCAACAAGAAGAUAAAGAGAGUAGAGAAACAAACACACCAAAAUUAUUUACCCUAUUCGGCUUAAAUUGACCUACGUCUGCGGGAGAGAGCAGUUCUCCAAUCUACUAUCAAUGAGUCUUUACAUGAGAUACACAAGACGUUACAAGAAAUUAGCUCUCCAAUACAUAGAUUUUAAGGUACAUUAGAACAAAAACAAAAACAAAUUCAUCACUUAAACAAUAACAAAACAAAGCAUUACCAAGUGCAAGGCAUUUCUGGUAGCAAGAGUAGUAUAAACAUUUCCAUAAAUAGUAGUAAGUCCAAUAACUUGAACUUCUGGUGAUCUUAGAGCAAGGAAUAUUGCCAUAGCAUCAUCUAUAGAAAUAAAACCAAUCACAAUAUUAUGAUCAAAGUCAAAGAAACAUGGAAUUUGAAAAAUCAAACAUAGACAAAGAGCAAAAAAAAAAAAAAAGUAUAUGUUGUGUAUUAAUUGCUAUUAUUUACCGAUUCCAGGGUCAGUAUCAAUUAUGAUCUUCUUUGGUUCCUUUUGGGCUGCCAUGUGAUUUGAUGACUCUCUUGAGCAGAAGUGAGUGAUGAUUUAUGAGUUAUUACUAUGACUUAUUUGAAGAUACAUCGACACGUAAGUAUCUUUGCAUGGUGCUUUUAUUUACUGCUGCAACAAUUAAUCUACUACUACAACAAAACUAGUAAAAUACCAUGCAUAGAGGAUACUCGAAAUGUGUGUCAAAAAGAGAAAUUGCGUCUAAACCAAAUACAUCAUCAUAGUCACAAGACAUCAUGAGUCAAAAAGAAAAUUCUGGACACAAUUUAUUUGACAAAAUUAUUUGAUUUUGACUAAAAGUAUAGGUAUAAGUAUUUUUCAUUUUCAUUCUGUAUUAUACAAUAUUUUUUUUUUCAACGACACUAAUAAUAUAAUAAAUAUAAUAUAAAUUCUUAUAAUUUUGAUCAUGACACCAACAGCAUAACAUUCUUGUAGGCAUUUUUUUUUAAUUAACGAGUUUAGGGAUUGGGUAAUUAUGUAUAUCUUUUUUUCCUCUUGUUUGGUUGUGAUGGUUGUAAGCUUUUGAGACAUUUGCUCUCCUCUAGUAUUAUGUUUGAGCGGACUUUUUUUCUGGUAAUAUAUUUUAUUUUGGUUUUUUUUAAAAAAAAAAAAAAAAAGAGAGUCCAAACCAUGUAUUCCCUUUAUAUACCACGCCUAAAUUUAAUCCCCUAAAAAAACUUAAAUUUAAUUCCUCUGAAAAAAAUACUAAAUUUAAUCAAACAAUUAAUUAUUUAAUUAAUGAUAUUUCAUUAAAAAGAGGAGAGAUGGAUGAAAUGAUGAGUAAAGAGGCAGCGAUAGUCUCCUCCCUCCGAGUCUUCACAAUUGAUUAGGAAAAUAGGUCGAUAAAAAAGAGGCAACAAUGGUCUUAUGACUUUUAUCUAGGCAACAAUGGUCUUCACAAAUAGUUGAGUUUUUUGUGAAAAUAAUUUUAAAUUUUUAUUCUAAAAAGUUGGAGGUAAACUUUCCCAUAAAAAAUUUGGAGGUAAACAUUUUGUCAAACAAAUAAAUUGAAGCAUGAAUUGAAAAUUAUUUUGUAGCUAAAAAAAAAUGAAAAUAAUUAGCGGUAUUAUGACUUUUAUCUAGGCUACGUGUAAUUUGUCAGACUUACAACCAUGGAUAGCUAACAAUUUUUCAAAAUAAAAUAAAAUUAUAGAUAGCUAUCCAUGGUUAGUCUAUAGGUAACGCCUCUUACAAGUUUAAAUAACACCGACAUCUUUAUCCACAAUUUAGUGACGGCUUGGUGCACUAUACAUAAAACAUUACAGUGGCCACGGGGUUGUGGCUAAAUGCUGUGGGUGAUGACAAAUUUUCUUGUAGUGGAAGUAGGGUAAAUGAAUGGAAGAUUAAAAUAAAAAAUGAAGAGAUUACAAAUGAUAACAAAUUAAAGAAGGAGAAAUAAAAGGAUUAAAGAUAAAAGAUUAAAUAAUAGAAGGAGGGAGAAUUAUGAUAGGAGAUUAUGAAAGGUUAAAGAGAAGAAGAAGAAAUGAUAAGUGGGAAUCUUCAAUAUUCGUUCUCGUGCUUGAACAUAUCAAAUGUUUUUGUAAUUAUCAAAUGAGUUGUAUUUAUGAGACUAAUUUUUAUAUAUUUUUUAAAGUUGUCUUCUUUGUUUGAUUUUGAGUAGGUCAUUUGUACUCAUAUUUUAAUGUUAUUUUUUCUAGCUACAUCCCUAAAAUAUUUUGUUACACUUUCCACCUCUGUAAAAGUUUCUUCCCUUUUUCAUAGUCAUGGUCCAAGCUUAAGAAUUACUCAUAAUUUUCAAUUUUACCAUAUACAUUCAUUUUGUUUAAAUUUUACCAUAUACAUUCAUUUAGUGUUUUCAAGCAAACAACUACAUAUGUGUAACUUGCAUCAUAUCCUUCAACCUUCUCUAUAUCUUUAUUAUUAUUUUUUAAGAAUAAAUAGUAGACACUUGUCUUGACGUUUAUAAACUAAAAUAGUGUUUUUAUAUAGUCGUCCAUAUUUAAUUUAUAGUAUUUGAAUAAAAAUGGAUUGAACUUUUACUUCCUAAUGUUCUAUAUUAUUGAUAUUUAUAUAAAGAUUCUAUUUUUAGACUAUACAAAAAAAAAUUAGGGCUAAAUUACUCUGUCACCGAGUAAAUUGAGUCAUAUCAUAAAAACCCAAAAAUAAAUAAAAUAGGACAUUCAUAUAAAUUAUAUACACGGUAUCAUAUAAAAUAUAUCAUUAUAAAAUUAUAUUGAUCAUUUUAUUUUGUCAUUUGUCCUAUUUUUCUAUUAAGACUAUAGGAAGGCUGGUUCUUAGAAAGAUUAAUGAGAACCACCUUCCUAUAGUCUACAGAAACAGCCUUUACACCCACUUGAGAUUUCCUAGAACAAAAUUCACCAAAUUCGCCAAAGGGUCAUAUCAAACACAAACCACUUCUUGAACUCUAGGUGUUGCAGCCACAUAAAGCAUACUUUGCUGAAGGUGUAUCUUGUAUGUGAUCUGCACAAGAUCAGAUAUAUUUUUUCACAUGUAGGUGUUGCAUCCCCUCACUCCAUUUUUUUUUUUUUUACCUGUAAACGAGUUGCAAUCCGCAGAAUGAUUGUCAGUUUCCUCUAGCUUUGAGAUUUUCAUUAUCAAUUAAAUUGGCCAUUGCUAGGUCAUAAGACGAUCUCUCCGAGUACAGACUUGUCUCUGUCUGGUUUCAACUCAAUUUGUCAUUCAUAGCCAAUGGAAAUUAAAGGAGUAGCCAAAAUAGCAUUGGUUUCUGCAGAACAUAAUAUCAAGAUAUUAUGAAAUCUAAUGUUAAAUUCUAACAGGACAUAUAACAAGAUUUUCCUUUUACCUUUUAAUAAUUUGAAUUGAACAAAUUAUAAUAAGUAUUCUACACAAUGUAUGAUAAUUGGGAUUGGAAUGUCAAUUUAAUCGGCGAAGGCAACGGGAAUUUGUAAAAUGCUGCCUUACUUGUAGAUCAAGGAACAGCAAAUAAAGAGAAGGGAGCAAGACAAUCAUUCCUAUCACAUUGUAAUUAAAAUUGAAAUAAAAUGUAAAAUAAAAGUAACGCUCAAGAGCUUUGAAGUGAGCAGUCUUGUGCUUAAUCAACAAUGCUAAUUGAACGGCUGUGUAGCUUCUUCAAACCAAAAGACGAUCCAUGACCAAUUUCACAACUCUCGGAGCAUCUACUGUCACAGCUACUUUUACUGUUGGCAUAUUGCACCAUUCAGUGGUUUCGCCAAACCUGGUUUAUUACAAACAGAAAAAAGAUGUAAAAGUGAGGUGAUGCAUAUAAAAAGUUGACAAAAUUUUCAAUACAAGAUGAAGAUAAGAUAUCAUUGCAUAGAGGUUUUUCCGACUACCCUUCCUAAAUCAUCCAUUACAUUGGACUUUUUUAAUCAUGAAAGCCAUUGAAAAAAGAGCAAAGUGUCUAAUUAGUUCUUCCAAUCUUUGCAUGCCAAAACAUUAGUUUUCUUCAGAGAUUUUAUCGUUAUAUUACAACAACUGAUCCUUAUACACUAGGUGGAGUUGACUGCAAGGAUUAACUAUGUCAUAGUGUUCAAUCACAAAUCAUAUCUCUUGCCCAAACACUGACCUCAAAUUUAUCCCUAAUAGUUUCCCCUAUAGAUUUUCUAGGUCUUCCCCCGACUCUUGCAAUUGGAGUAACCUUCAUUUAACCUAAUCUCCUACAUUCAAUCUACAUAUCUUCUCGACACAUGUCUAAAUCACCUAAGUCGAUAUUGAACCAAUUAUUCUACAGUAAGGUGCUAUCCAUAUUCUCUGGUUAAUGCUAACAUUUCUAAUUCUAUCUAAUCUAGUUUAUCCUCAUGUACAAUGGAACAUUCUCAUACAAACCACUAAAUAAGGGAGGUAUGGAUAAUACCAAGAUUUUGAACGAAACCCAACAUCUGGAGCCAAAAACUGAACCAAGCCCAAUAGGGAGGAAAAAGUCAACUAAUCCAACCAUAACUCAUACCCAAUUGUAGAGGACAUUUGAUCAUACUAACCUACCAAUCAACUAGGGUACCUGAAACCAAAAUUCAUAACUAAAUGGACAAGUCAUCAAAGCACCCAAAUUCUUAUAAAAAUGGACAAGUCAUCAAAGACAGAAAAACUUUAACAAAAUAUCCUCCCUAACAAUUGCAAUAAGAAGGGUGAUGGGGAGUUAUGGAUAAAAUGGAAGCCCAUGUAUGUCCCACAUCUAAUCUUAUGAGGUGAUCAACGGAGUAUUUUCCUGCUUAGUUUUCCCCCCUUGACAGCUAGAUAUUAAGGGAAUUAGGUUUGUCAAGCGUUUGAGUUCUUAUGAAAUGGUAUCAUUGUUGGUUGCAGGUGUCUCAGAAAGAGAUGACUAACAAAAGCUAAUCGAAAAAGGUCGAGAAAAGUAACGGACAGUGCAGCCUCCAAGACAUCGUCUCUCAUGGUUAUGAUAUGGACUUGGGCGUUAUGGAGUGCUCAUGUCUUACACCGAGUAGUAUGGAAUGGUUGGUAGAGUACCUGUGUGGCUUAGUUCUUCCCCCUUGACAACUAGCUUUUAAAGUAGGGUUUCCCCAUUGCUUGGGUUCUUAUCAAAGGGGUACACUGUUCCUCAGCAAGCUUCCCCCUUUUAGCCCAUACAAAAAGGGGUACACUUAUCAAAGGGGUACACUGUCUCUCUUCAGAUAAAACACCAUUCACCAUAGGAGUAUCUUUGUAGUUAUCCCUGUCUAGCAAGAAAGUUUGACACUAUGCUUGCACUUUUCAUUAUCUGAGUGUCUAAUAAGCGAGAUCAUUCUUAAUCUCUGUAGUCAAUUAGAAUUAGCACAUCACUCUACAAGGAAUAAAGGAAAGGAAACACAGGUUUAAAUUCUUACAAUCCAAACUCCUACCAAACUUUAGCUUAAAUCAUUUAUGGAAAAUUUACUUCCUUCUCCUAAGGAAUUACGCUGGCCACUAAAAUUUAUCCUAAUUUUUGGGUCUUCAUCUGACACCAACUUUUUUUUGUUAAAUUACAAUCAGACAAUAUUUUACAAGAGUCAAUGAUAUUCUCUGAUCCAUGUAGCAAAAUCCACCAAGUGGGAUAAGCUUGGUGGUGGUUGUUGUUCUUUAGAGAAAGUUUCACUACAAAAUACAAUCCCAUAGCAUCUUAACAAACUACUUUGCAUAAUUUUGAAAUAAAUAGAAUUGCUAUAAAAUAUGCAUUCACAUUCAUAAGACUAGAUAAAUUUCAAAAAAUAUAUAUUUGCCCUAGUCCUCCAAGGUUUUAUUAUAUCAACUGCUAGUGAUUUCUACCUUUUCUGUUUAUUGUAGAGUACUGUAAGUCCCCUUGUAAUGCCACUGGUUUGGACUCUAACAGAACCCUCCGUACAAGUUACAAGUGAGGGAUCAACAGCAGCAAGCAACGUUGUUGGAUCAUGAAGGUAAACUCCUGCAUACAAAAACAAUAAUUAAUAAUUCAGAUGAUUAGGUAUCUCCCAAUUCUUUGAUGCAGUAUGAAGACUAACCUUUGGUGUUGUAUGCGUCAUGAUGAUAAGAGAAAUACACCUCUAAGAUUUGGGUCAAGUAUUGAGCAAACUUUCCUUUUGAACUAGCCAACUUUUCUCGAUCAGAACCUAGUCAUUUUAUUUUUUCAGAUCAGCGUAUACCGGAACAAAUUUAACAGAACAAAACAAGUGAGAACCUUGAUAAAUGAGAACAUCAUGUACAAAAGAAAAAUGCUACAGAUAGAUUCAAGGUGAACAUACUGUGCUACCUUAGAAAAAAACAAAUUCUAAUUUGCAUCUCUACUCCCCAUUUUUCCUAAAUUUUUAGCUAUUAAUCAAAGGUAUUCAGAAAAUACUACUUUAGUUCGGGAGACAUCUAUGAAAUCUGUUGAGCUGAAAAUUUUAUUUAUUUUAAAUAUAAAAGUUUAAAAUAGUCGCAUAAAGUAGUGCUGGAACAUGAUGCAUAAUUCCUGAAAGGAAAAGCAAAUUAAAUUAUCUGUUGAAGAAUUACGUCAAACACAUAAGAUAUAUCAAGAGAUGAUUAUUCACUUAAAAAAAUGCCUAUACAAGUAUAGAAAUAAUGAGUGCAUGGGAAUUGACAAUGCGGUACCUGACAAUACGACUUGGUGAGUGACAUUUAUUCCCACUGCGAGUAUAUCUGCGCCACUUGUGAACACAACAUCUGCAGCAUCUGGAUCACCGAAUAUCUGGAAUCAAAUCCAAUUGAAGAGUUAGAUAGAUAUAUCAAGCAGCGACUGAUAUCAUUUUUUUUAAUGGAAUUUAUAUUAAGAAAUUGAAUACAAAAUAGACAUACUUACAUUUGCUUCAGCAGCUGGAUUCACAUUGCCAUUUACUGCGAAAGAUCCACCAAGUAGAACGAUCUGUCCAAUGUUCUUAGCGAAUUCUGGGUCCAUCUGUAUAGCCUGCCAAAAAUAAACUUGGCAUGAAACAAAGUGUGAAGAGACGAUGAGAAAAUGACAAAUUGGACAUUGCAAACAUAACAAACCAAAGCAAUAUUUGUAAGAGGACCCAAUGCCACGACAGUGAUUUUUCCGGGGUUAGCUUUUGCUUGGUUAACCAAAAAAGAAGCAGCUGAUUCUUCAAUGGGUUUCCCAUUUGGUGGUGGAAAAUUUUGGUUGCCAAGUCCAUCUGCACCAUGGACAAAAUCUGCAAUGCGAAGUUUUGUUCCUUUCUGUAAACAUAACAUGGAUUACCAAAAUUAAUCAAGUCAAAAUCUCGGUAUACAUUUUGAAGGAAUACAGAGAUUUCAACAAGCAGCUUAUAUAGUUUGAUCAUCUUUUCAAACUUAAAAAAGUGCCAAAACUCAAAGACCACUCAAGUUGAUGUGAGGGAGCGAAAGAUAUAAUGUGUUCCUCUCUGAGAAUUUCAAGUGUGCAGACUAUGUAAUAUGUAAUACAUAAAGCAUAAAGGGUCCCACUGCAUGACUUAGUGGGAUGCAUUUGAAUAACAACCAAUUAAAAAGCUUGUGCUGAAAAGAGUGUGUUGGAGAGUGUGCUCCUCUUAUCUAUAUGCACUAAAGAUCACAUAUACUAAUGGCCUGUUUGGAUUGGCUUAUUUGAGCUUAUCUACUGGCUUAAAUUUUGUGGCACUGUUUGGGACAACUUGUGAAAACAGCUUAUGACAAUUUUCAAAAGCUUUUUUCAGCUUAUUUUCAAAGUUCUCUAAUAUAGCUUAUAAAAAAAAAUUAUAGCAUAUACAAAAACAAUUUAACUUUAUUUUAUCCUUUACUAUGGAAAUAGCUUACAUGAGCUUAUAAAUAAGUGCUUAUCAUGAUAAGAGCUUGUGCUAUAAGCUGGAAAUAAGAUGUUUAUCCCAACAGGCCCUGGUUCUAAACACUAAUAUGACAUUUAUAGAAGUUAAGAAAAAAAGAGAAACAUGAGUAAAUAAAAUGGAUAAUAAUAGAAGACAUGAAACAGAUGGUGGUAGUGGGAGAGUCAGAUAUUGGAAAAGCCAUUGUACAGAUAUAAUCAAGGUUUUAAAUCAUGAUAGUUGGAUCCUUAAUAUUUCCGAGAAUCAUUGUAAAAUGUAGCCGCAACAGCCUGUGAAGCACAAACUGAGACAUGAUGCCACCGAAACUGACACAUUGACAUGAGUAAGUAAUAAUUUAAGAAAAUGAAAUGAUUGAUUGUAACCACAUUCACUCGACACACUUUCAAUCUGAACUGUUGAUGCUAGCUAUCAGAUGACCGUGUCGCAUAGAUAUCAAAAACCUUAAAUUGCAAUAAACGGACCUUCUUUUAAAAACCUACACCCUAUGAUCACUAUUAUAAGGAAAAAAAUCACUUUUUAGGUUCACUGAAUAGUUGAUGUAUCUUAUAUCAGAUACAUCAACUAUUCAAUGAAUCUAAAAUGUGCUUUUUUGCUUAUAACAGUGACCAGAAGAUGUAUCAAGUAGACAUAUGAGUUGUUAUUCUUAUAAACUUACAGUUAAAGUCACAUGAGAUCCUUCAGCCACUGGUAUAUCAGUUCUUCCAGCAACCUCCAACUACACAAAUACAAAUUUAGUCUCAAAACUAAAUUUCAUCAAAUAAAACUAUUGCAAGACACGUGUCAGACAUCAGACAUGUCUUCGAUUAGAAGUGUCGGUGCUACGGAGCUAUCAAACCAAACAAAACAAAAAAAUUACCAAAUGCAAAGCAUUUCUGGUGGCAAGAGUAGUAUAAACAUUUCCAUAGAUAGUAGUAAGUCCAAUAACUUGAACUUCUGGUGAUCUUAGAGCAAGAAAUAUUGCCAUAGCAUCAUCUGCACAAAAAAAAAAUAAUCAAUUACAAUAUUAUGAUCAAAGUCAAAGAAACAUGAAAUUUGAAACAAAGGAACAGAGUGAAUAUGAAAUUGAAAUCUAAAAGUGUAUUUACCGAUUCCAGGGUCGGUGUCGAUUAUGAUCUUCUUUGGUUCGGUUUGAGUUGCCAUGUGAUUUGAUUGAUGAUUUUUUUUCUUUUUUCUUUUUUCUUUUUUCUUUUUUCUUUUAGAAGAUAUAUAUUAUUGACAAUCAGUUAUUACUUCAGCUCUUCAACAGUACACUAGUACAAACGAACUUUUACUUAUAAUUAUGGUAAAGUACGAUCAAGUAUAAGUGGUUGUUAGCAAGUACCAACAUUUGACACAAUAUUAUAUAGAAAGAAAUUAUAAUUAUAAAAAAAAAAAAAAAACUAUUCCUAAAUAAAAAAGAUGUAUAUAUUUUUAUAAUAAUUAAAUUAUGCAUAUUUUAAUGAGAAAUGUUAACAAGACACUAUUUAAAAACUAUAACUAGUAAGUUUUGGUCAAAUACCUCCCACGGUAAUUUAUAACAUAUUAGUCAUUUCAGUUUAUUUUGUUAUUGAUUGGUCAUUUAAGUUAUUUUUUUGUUGCACAUUGAUCAUUUAUGUCAUAGAAUGUUUACACUCAUCCAUCUUUUCAGCUAACUUUAUUAAAAAGUACUUAUAGAUCAUUUAACAUUAAGAUGGUAGGUCUAAAAGGGCUUAUGACAUCAAACAUGAUUACUUAUACACAUUUUUUUCUUCUUGUUUUUUAAUUUAAAGCCUAAUUUUACAUAUAAAUAUUUGAUCAUCAAUAGGGCUGACAAUGAACCGAACCAACUCGAUUAGAGUUCGUAAUUCGAUUAGACAAUUGAUUUGUUGAACUUGGUUCAUGAACCAAAUGAGCCGAACUGGAGCUGAAAAUUAAGUUCGUCAACUAUAUAUAGUUCGACUCAUUUUGUUCACGAGAUGACUCGAUAAUAUAUAUAUAUAACACUGAAAAAAUAUUUUAAAAUUUUAUAUAAUUGAUUUUACACAAUUUGAUAAUUGAUUAUAUAUAUAAUACUUUAAAAACUAAGACAAACGAAUUCUUUGAACAAAUGAAUUUAAAAAUUGGUAUAAAUUCUAAUAUAUUUAUGUAUAAAAAAUUUAAAUUCUUUGACUUUUGAGUUACGUGGUUCAAGUGGUUUUACUCAUUUCCAUACCUAAAGUUAUGUGCUUUGAACAAACGAAUUGAACCUAAUGAGUCGAACCAAACUGUUCGUGAAUUUUAAACGAGCCGAACUUGAACUCAAAAAAAAGUUCGUGUCAAACUCGAACCGAGGUUUGAACAAAGCCAAUUCUUAACGAGUCGAGUCGAGCUCAUACAGGUUCGAUUCGACUCGACUCAUUUCCAGCCCUAAUCAUCAAUAUUAUAAAUCAAGUAAUCGGUCAAUUUUUUUUAAUCAAGACGGAAUAACAUUCCUAUGAGCUCUAGGUUUGAGAGCAAUGAAUUUGGAGAAACCAAUUUAACAUUAAACAUCUACAUAAACACUCUUUGAUUGAGUUUGAUGAAAUUAGGAUAAUGGUGCAAAUAUUUUAUGACUUAAAAGACCAAUUUGUAACAAAAAAAAACACUUAAAGGACUAACUUAUUAUAAUCAUGUAAUUUAAAAGGACCGUAAAUGAUAUUUAGCCUAAGUUUUUAUGAAAAGUUAUGUAUUUAUUGUAUUAAAAAUUGUAGUAUUUGAUUUUUUUUAAAAUAAUUUUUUAAUGUGGAAUGGUUAAAAAAUGUCUUGGGGCAAUCUUUAACACAAUAUUUUUUAUAGUGUGUGUAACUGAUGUGUACAAGUCUCAUUUGUCAUGGGUUUGAGCACCACUAAUGCAUUUAAGGGUAGAAAAUAUAAAUGUAUUUGUAUUCUUCUUCGAACUUGAAGGAUUUUUUUUGUUUUAGACCAGGGUGUCACCCUUCAUCCUAAAUUUUUACUAAAAAAUAUAUGGGUUAAAAAUGCUUUUCUUUGGGUAAAUCUAAAGUAUAUUAUGCAUGCAACUAUUAUACAUUCCGGUCGAAACCUCAACCAAAUGGUAGGGUCAAAGCAUCUGAUGUAGUCGCCCAUGUGCUAUCGAUUUUUUUUUUUUUAAGGAAAAGGACUUACUUAUAUAAUUAAUUAAAAUGGGUUGAAUAUAAUUUGGUAUGCUAAUAAAGAUUUGGAAACUAGCUAAUAACGUGGCCGUCUUAACUAGUUCAUCUCAUUUGUUGGUUUCCUUUAAACUAUUCACGGGAGUUUUCAUAAAAUGACUAAAGAGCUCUACAAUGAUUACUAAUGGCCCCGAAUUCACUUACAUCAUGCUUACGUGACAUAAAACUAUCUACCACUUUUUUAGAAUCGAGCUUGAAGUCAACAUAUCCGAAAUUGAGUUCAUCCACCCACUAUAAAGCCGAUAAGAGACCUAAUGCUUCUCCAAUAUAAAUGUCACAUGAGAUUAAUCCAUUCAAGUUUUGCCUACACAAAAGAACAUUUGUCAUCUCUUAUACACAUUCUUAAUCCAACGGAAAAAUUGUUGGAACAAAAUUGGAUUUGUCCAAUGCCUUUAAAAUUUUGAUGAUAACAAAGUAUUAAAGAACAAUUAGAUAUGUUAAUAUAUGUUCAAGAGUGCAGGAUCUUAGAUUAAAAUUUAACAAGGUCUAAAUAUGUAUAAAAGCACCAGAAGCACAAGAGAAGUUAAAAGACUUGAUAGAAGAUAUGAGGAAAGGUAAACUUAGAAGUCAAGCAAGUGAAGACCAUACUCAAGAAAAUAAGGCUAUGAGUCACUCAGACUUAGAGUCACCCAAACUCCGUGACAUCCAGACGGGACCUAGAAGCCUAGUCAUAUUUGUCUUCUUAUGAGAAGAGCCACUUUCAAUAGUACAAUUUGUCUUCUUCUCGAUCACGUGCUUAGUCAAAUUCAAGGACAAAAAGAAUGAAAAAGGAUAAUUCUAUUUCCGUCAAUGGAUUUCGAAUGUCCCUUCAAACGACGUUAACCAUAUCAGGCAACAUUUCAACGUCUUUGAUUUGAAGUUUCUCAACAACUCUUAAUGCGCUGACACUCUCCAACGUCUCUAAAAUCCUUGCAUAUAUAAGGAGCUAAAGACUUAAAGAAUAUGAACAAGAAUCUGCAAUUUUAAUUGUGCCCUUACUCUGUCAAAUUCAAAAGCGCAUAAAAACACUUAAGAAUUUCUUACCAAGUUCAUAAUUGAAUCUAAGUAUGAAUUUAUGGCUAUAACUCAUCUUCAGGGAAUCCUUCAAUUUCAAACAGGUGAGUAGGGAUUCAAAUAAAAUUCCACUAAUUCAUCGUAGGGUUGUGUUCUACUUUCUUAAACAUAAGACAAAUUAUAAACUAAUAAUUUAUGUAUUUAAUUUCCAACAAAGACGAAGUGGGGGAUUCAAGGAUUCCCUAAUCGCAGUUAAAUAUCUGAAUCAAUCAAACCUAACCUCGCAUUGUGCAAGAUAAUUAAAACCCUGCAACCAUCACCUUCAAAUCUUUUUAUUUAUUUGCUUUUUAAAUAGAUUCCGCUAAUUACAGAGUUCAACGACAAUCCCUGUAAAAACAAUUAAUUUAUUACUUUAUUACUUAGUACAAUUUGGUGCACUUGUCAAAAUCACCAACAAUUACAUAGUAUCAUCAGUCUAUAGUACCAUUCAGUAUUUAAAAAAGUUUAAAACACAUUUUUGUAUGUUAUUAAAUAAAACAAAUUCAACAUUUUAAGAGAACACACAUCUUCCUUUUAAGUCCAUGUCAACAGUAGUAUAGAUAGUGGGAAUGAAAUAAUGCAUGAUAAAAAAUAAAUUGUAGAGAAUGUCUUGUGUUCUCACAACAAUUUGGACACAAUAGGGCAUGCAUUGUGUUAUAAACUGAAACAAUACAUAGGGUGCCAAAGUGUAAUAGGAUGAAACAUGAAUACAAAUGUGUAUAAAUAUAGUUUUUAAAAUUCAAGGUACUUACCAUUGAAAUGUGUUGAGAUAGUUCUUUUUCAACUUGCAACCUUUUUUGAUGGAGAGACAUAUUAUUUAAGCAAUAAACAUAGCGAAUAUGAAUAUGUGAGAUUGGAUCCACUUUUUACAAAUGAAGCUGAAAUGUUUGAGAUGAUAUAACAAUAAUAGGACAUGUAUUGUUAAAUUUUAUUUGAAACAUUCUUGGAUAGAUGGACUAAAUUAAUCUAUGGGAAUAAAUAGAGUUAGAAAUGAAGAACUGCGUCUUUCCAAAAUAAAAUAAAAAAGGAGAAACGAAGGAGGUGUGAAAGUUGAUGGGAGUGAGAGGAUUGUUAGUUUUGAAUUUAGAUAUCAGAAAUACUGCAAAGGAAUUAUCGGGUUGAGUUACGAUCAGGUCGCUCUCUUUAAGAAGUUUCGCGGCACUACCCUAGUUGUGCAAGGUAGACUAACAACCACACCGUCUCCAGGAUAAAACAGUCCAGAUCACUGUUACGAUUAUACACUGCACAAUAUACAAUCGCUCGAGAUAUACACCUCUAAAUAUAGCCUAAUCGUUCGAUUAAAACUAUUCAAUACGGUAUGUAGCCGCUCUAUUCGAAACCGAAAGGGAUAGAAAGAAGUAGAAGCCGAAGAAUGACUCGUUAACACAAAUCGAAGGGAGAAGAGAGGAAUGGCACAGGAGGUCACUCUACCCUUAUAUAAAAAAUUUCUAGUUGGUGUGGUUCACCAAUGUGGGACAUUUUUAAGUCACACACUCACACUAGUUCUUACAUUGUGUUUUUCUUAUCCAAUUUUCUCACUAGAUUUAACUAGUGUUCCAACAAGGAUGAUAAGAUUUCUCUCAAGGAAUAUAUGUAGAGUAAAUUGCAACAUUUCUAAGAUAAGUAAACGUAUAAUUAACCGUUGUUACUUAACUGCAAAUUGUUUGAAACUAUUCACAGAAAUCCGCAACGUUUCAAGUUUGAAAACGCUUGGCUUGCUGAACCUGAUUUCAGAGAUCAAGUUAAACCACGCUGGCGGCACUAUCCUCAUGGCAAAUUCACGAAAAAGCUAACUCAAUGUGCUACUGAUCUUUCUGAAUGGAGUCGUAAUAAUAAUAAUAUCCGGCGUGAAAUCAGUAAAGUUCAGGAAAAAAUUGCACGGUUUCGAACCAACGUCACAACCUCAAACUUUGAUUUCUUCAAUUCUCUCAAAAAAUGGCUCGACAGGUUGCUUAUUCAGGAUGAUAUCUAUUGGAAACAACGGGAAAAAUCCUUCUAGUAUCGUGAUGGGGAUUUAAAUGCUAAAUAUUUUCACGCUGCUGCUACUUCUCGGAAAAAAGUCAAUUGAAUCACACAUCUUGAGAACUCAGCUGGAGUAGUAUGUCGUAAAGAAGAGGAUUUCCAAACAAUUGCACGUGACUAUUUUUCCAACUUAUUUACAAAGCUGCCAAGUAAUCGUGCAUCUGUUGUUUCUUUAGUUCCAAGUUCAAUCAUAGAUGAAGACAACUUCUCUUUAACUGCAGAUUUCACAAUGGAAGAAUUCUGAACAGCGGCAUUUUCAAUGCAAGCAAACAAGUGCCCAGGACCGGAUGGCUUCAAUCCGGGUUUCUACCAUAAUUUUUGGGACAUGUGCGGUCAAGAGGUGUACCAAGCAAGAUGUGAAUGGCUUGCAAAUGGUGUUUUCCCUCCUCAUUUGAACUCUACAAACAUUGCUUUAAUACCUAAAGGUGAUUCUCAGAAGUCUAUGAAGGACUGGAGACCUAUUGCACUAUGUAACGUUGUUUAUAAAAUAGUGACUAAGGUCCUUGCUAAUAGGCUUAAAGGUGUACUUGAAAAAUGCAUCUCCUCAUCUCAAUCCGCUUUUGUACUAGGCCGGUCUAUUCUUGAUAUCGCCUUGGUUGCCAUCGAAUUAAUUCACUAUAUGAAGGCAAAAACAAAGGGUACGCAAGGUGGUGUAGCUCUUAAGUUGGAUAUCAGCAAGGCAUAUGAUAGGCUGGACUGGGGAUAUCUCCGUGACAUUAUGUUUCAGAUGGGUUUCUCUGCUAAAUGGGUUCAGUGGAUUGUGUAAUGUAUUGAGACAGUUGACUACACAGUCCUUGUGAAUGGAGUUCAGGUUGGACCAUUCAUUCCUUGCAGAGGUAUAAGGCAAGGCGAUCCAUUAUCCCCUUACUUGUUCAUUCUUUGUGCUGAAGGGCUCUCUGCUCUUAUCAGUGAUGCCGAGAGAAGAGGUGCGAUCAAAGGUACACGCAUUUGUACACGUGCCCCGACAAUAACACAUCUCUUGUUUGCCGAUGACUGUUUUUUAUUCUUUGGAGCUUGUGAUCAUGAAGCCAUAGAGAUGAAGAAUAUUUUAACAUCUUAUGAGGCUGCGUCAGGGCAAUCAGAGAUGUAUUGUAGUAGAAAUACACCUUUGGAUUGUCAGGAGCGCAAAGCAACAAUACUUAGGGUCAAACAGGUAUUAGGCACAGGAAAGUAUCUAGGACUUCCAUCUAUGAUUGGCAGGAGCAACAAAACGACUUUUAAGUUUGUUAAGGAUCAUAUAUGGAACAUGAUUAAUUCAUGGAGUACCAGAUGUCUUUCGCAAACAAGAAGGGAAAUUCUUAUCAAAUCAGUCCUGCAAUCCAUACCCUCAUAUGUAAUGAGCGUGUUCUUAUUACCAGGCACUUUCAUCAGCGAAAUAGAGAAAAUGCUUAAUGCCUUUUGGUGGGGACAUAACUCUACUAACUCUAAAGUUUUACACUGGUUAUCAUGGGAACAUCUCUCUGUCCCUAAGAUCUUUGGAGGUAUGGGUUUCAAGAGUCUUAGAGCUUUCAAUUUGGCUAUGAUCGGAAAGCAGGCAUGGAAGAUGGUCGCUAACCCGGAUGCACUAAUCACUAGAUUACUCAAAGCUAAAUAUUAUCCACAUAUAGUGAUUAUUUUAAUGCUUCCAUAGGACAUAAUUCAAGUUACGUUUGGCGAAGUCUUUGGAAUGCUAGAGGUUUUAUUAAGUGCGGGUUAAAAUGGAGCAUAGGCACGGGAGAAUCCAUUUCUGUUUGGAAUGAACCUUGGCUAAAAGAUCCUAUAUGCCUUCAACAAAACAUAGAAGUGCAAGUUAUGUGGGAUGCUCUUAAUGUUGCUCAUUUAUUCAAGCCAAAUCAAAAGGUAUGGAAUGACAAUUUCAUUCAUUAUGUCUUUGAUGAUGAAACAACAAGUCAAAUUCUGCAGACCCCUCUUCUUCCUUCUGUUCAGAUGGAUACGGCUAUUUGGCGUCAUGAGAAAAAUGGCUUAUAUUCCGUUCGUAGUGCCUAUCGAGGCAUUUUUAAUAAUCAUGAUGCUAUGUUACACCACAUAGUCCAUGGUCAUUGGAACACUAUUUGGAAACUCAAGCUUCCCCCAAAAGUUAAAAAUUUCAUUUGGCGUAUCUGUCGUAAUUGUUUACCCACCCGGAUGAGAUUGACUGCGAAAGGUGUGGACUGUCCUAACAGUUGUGCGGUCUGUUUGGAAAGAGACGAAGACGGGAAGCAUUUGUUCUUCGAAUGCGGUAAAAGUGUCGGUUGUUGGCAACGCUGCAACCUCUAGAACUCCAUUCAAAAUUGUUGGUCCACUGAUGUUUCUUGUAUUGAACUGAUCUUUACUCUCCUCCAACAGUUCGAUAAUUCCCAACAACAAAUCUUUUCUAUCACCUUAUGGAGCAUAUGGAAACAUAGAAACAACAAAGUGUGGAACAAUGUUGUGGAAACAAUUCAACAAAUUAGUGAGAGGGCUGAAGCUUUUCUGAACAGCUGGAAAAAUGCGCAAACAAUAAAGCACCGCAGCCAAGUCACUACGAGGCAUAAUGAAGUCACGGGCUGGAAAAAAUCGGUAUUGGGAAGAUUCAAAUGUAAUGUGGAUGCAGCUUUUUCCGCCUCGCUUAAUAAGGUUGGUAUCAGAGCUUGUAUAAGGGAUGAGGUAGGGAACUUUGUCGCAGCCAGAACAACCUCUAUCUCCCCUUUACUUGACGUUGAGAUGGGUGAAGCUAUAGGGCUUCUGCAAGCAAUGCAGUGGGCAAAAGAGCUUAACAUGGUAAGCAUGGACUUCGAAACAGACUCUAAGAUUGUGACAGAUAGCAUUUAUGAAGGAGAUGGUGUCUCUGAUUUUAUGGCAAUUAUUCAUGAUUGUAAACACUUGUUGAUGACCGACUUAGCAAACUCUGAUGUGAAUUUUAUUAGGAGACAAGCCAAUGGUGUUGCCCAUAGUUUAGCUAGGGAAGCAUUAUCACAUGCUAGUUUCCAAUUAUAUCUUAAUAUUCCACAUUGUAUAACUAGUUUGAUUAAUAAUGAAAAGCUAUAAGCUUCCUUUCUAAAAAAAAAAAAAAAAAAAACUAAACGUAUAAUUAAUUAUGUCGCAAUUUGUGUUGUAGUGUCCAUAAUAAUGGCUAUCACAAUUAGGGUGGUAAAGUUAUCCACCAAACAAUUUUUUUUUAAUGGAUUGGAUUCAAUCCAUCCAUUUAAGAAUAAGGAUGGAUUCAAUACAACAAAUUUAAUUUUUAAAAUCCAAUGGAUUAAUUAAAAUAAACAAGUCGUAAUAAAUAUUUAAAUAUUAAAAUUAAUUAAGAACUAAGAAAUUGUAAAAAUCUGACAAUAAAAAACAUAAAAUUAUAGAAAUUUAAUAGAGGUGGCAAAAUUAAGACUAUUACUUUUCCCACACUAUGUCUUUCCUCGCGCGUCCUAUUUUUUUUCCAAUUUUACCCCUGGUCCGGAUUUCGUUUUUCGGAUGGUAUUGUUAGAAUUUUGCAGAUGUUUCCGGAUUAAAAAAUCAGGAAUAAUGUUUUACCAGAAGUUUUGCAAUUUUAAUCUUCAAAAUUUGUAAAAUAAAAUGCAAAUAAAAUAAAAAAGUAGAAAUAAAAAGACACAAACAUAAAAACAACUCAUUUUAUUAAUAUAUGAACAAUGCAUUACAAUAAUUUUCAAGUUUUUUAAACUUAUUGCAUAAGAUCCUAAAUCUAUUUCUAAUCUCCUAUGAGCCUAAUUCUAAUCUCCUAAGAGUCUAACCAUUGAUAUGUGAUGGGACAUACCAGUCGUUUGCCUAUUGGAGGAAAACCGAAGGAAGAUGGAAGAGGAGGGCGGGAAGAAGAAAACAAUGCCUCUGAGGGAGAUGGGGGUUGCUCAAACUUACGCCCAGACAUGCCAAGCUAAGAACCACACUGACCCACAUGACCCUCAGAUGAACCGCGCUUCGUUGCAGCGCGGUUCCAUCCUCGUUGACCGUUCAUACAAACCCUGAAAGUUUUCAACGAGGCCCUUAUCUAUGAAAGGCCAACGAUGGAAAACCAUGGUUGUAGAAGGAAGAAGAGGAAGAGAGGAUGGGAGAGGAUGGUGUUAGAAAUAGUGGGGUUUGAAAGGCUAUUUAUAGGGAGGGGUGGGUCAAAAAUGGUUAGGAGGCCAUAAAUGCAGUCAAAAAACGUGUUUUACUACGUUUUUUUUACUUGAUCACCAACAAAAACGUGUGGUGCAGACCAUCGGCCAUGACUGAUGCAUUACGGAAUAUAUAAUCCGGAAAGCACAUCUGUUUUCUGGAAUAUAUUUUCCGGAUUAAUGCGAUAAUGGUGGUGAACGAGGGAAAAGUUGGUACUUCCUAUUGGGCUAAGGACAUUCCGGAAUGUAAAAUCCGGAAAGAUUCAGAGCCAUUUAUGUGGGUUUGGACGGUUACAACAACCACUAACACGUUUUCAUUGACUGUAUUAAUGACUUAGGACUUGUUUUAGGCUAUAAAUAGGCGGCUUCCAUCUUCAACAAAUACCUUCAUUCUUCACUUCACCUCUUUUCUUACAUUUUCUUCAAAUAUUUUUUAGUUUUUUAGGGGUGUUGAUGGUGUCAUGAUCAUUGUUGGCCGUUCAUAGAAACCCUACAAUUGCAAUGCAUUGCAGCUUGUGUGGGGUUCAUAUAACGGUCAACAGAGACCCUUGACAUCAAAGAAAGACACAGAAAAUUACAUAACAUCUGGUCCGGAUUUCUGUUUCCGGAAAUCACUAACAAUCUGAUCCGGAUUAUGUAAUCCGGACCAUGGGUAUUUUAGUAAAUUUUGCAGGGUGCGUGAGAAGGCAGCAGGGUGGGAAAAGUAAUAGUCCAAAAUUAAUACUUUCGAUGAUAAAAUUAUUUUCUCUUGACUGGGCCUAAAACAUAAUUUUUCAUUUAGUCCAUUUGAAAGAGUAGAUUUCUCUUUAGGCCCCCCUCAUAUCUCUUUAGGCCCCGAAAAUUAGAUGUUUAUUUUUAAAAUUUAUAUUUUGUACAUCUGGUAGAUAACUACCAGAUGUUCAUUUUAAAAAAAUUUCAUUUUCUACCUCUAGUAGAUAGCUACCGAUUGUUAAUUUAAAAAAUUUCAUUAUGUACCUCCGGUAGAUCACUACCGGAUUAUUGCCCAUUUAACCUUCUUUUUACUAAAACAUCAACCAAACUUUCUCUCUCAUUUUCUCGCAUCUCUCCAUCAGCUCACUUCGUCCACCAUCUCACUCUGAUGACCUAAUUCAUACCUAAUGAGAACGUCGAAUCAUCACCGUCCAAUUAUCCACCAUCAUCAAAAUUCACCAAAUAUGCUAAUUGAUCGCAAUUGAGUGAAUAUUGACGCUAUUUGUUCUACUGAUUGUGAUGAAAACGCAAAAAAUCACCCAAAAAUUGCAAGUUUUAAAAGCAUAUUCAAGUUGAGUGCAAAACAGAAAAUGACUGCUUAAAAACUGCAAUUUGAUUUAUAUAAUGAAUAUUCCAACAGUUAUCUACCUGAGAUACAUAAUCAAGAUUUUUAAAAUGAAAAUCCGAUAGUUAUCUACCGGAUGUAUAAAAUUAAAAUUUUUAAAAUGAACUUCCAGUAGUUAUCUACUAGAUAUACAAAAUGUAAAUUUUUAAAAUGAACAUCCGAUAAUUAUCUACGAGACGUGUUAUUAAGAGAAAUUUUAUAAUUUUAGGGGACCUAGAGAUACGGAGGGGGCCUAAAAAGAAAUCUUAUUUGAAAGAAACAUGAUAUUUAGCCCAAACGCAAAUCAAUUAUAGACAAAAACAAUAGUUAUAGGUAUCAUUAUAUUUUUAGGAAAAACUUUGCACAACAUAUCCUACGACUUCUAAUUUGAUCCUGCAAGCAACUUUUAAAAUAAGUCUUCUUAUUUAUCAAAAACUGUAGUAAACAGGUAUACAAAAUAAUUGUUUUCCCUUUACUAUCACGAAAGGUUGAAAAGUAAGAAAAAAAAUUACUGGAAAAAAUAAUGAAAAAUUAGGUAAAUAAUAUUAAAUUCUUAUGAAUAUUAAGUUCCUAUGUUUUCAGAAGGGACAAAAAAACCCAUUGAUACAUUUAAGACGCACUUGGUAAUGAAUUUUAAUUUGUGAAGGGUUUUUAAAAUUUCAUAAUGCUUAAACUCUUUAAUUUUAUUUAUACGUCCAUGAACUUUAUACACUAUAAAUAGAUCAAAUUAUCUACCAAUUUUUUUAUCCAAAUAAGAAAAAAUAUGGUUGAAAUUCAGAAGUUGGUUUAUGUUUUGAUUCUAUUUCUUUCCAUAUUUCUUGAAAUGAUAGUAUCCAAUUGUACUUUCAUUGGGUUUCAAGACAAUCCUUGUAAAACAGAUAAAGAUUGUCGAAAAGUUAGAGGGGUUAAUCUUAGAUGUCGUAAUGGCCAUUGUGUAAUGAUUUUGCAAUAAACGAGUUCUUUCACUGGCAAGAGAAUUGUACGGUAUACCUUAUGCUUGAAUCUGUUAGGGUUGAUUCACAUGCAUUGAAUGGACCAGGUUUUAUGCCCCCCCCAACAAUUUUAAUGUAAUUUUUUUUUACCUUUUUUAAUAAUAUAUAUGAGCAUUUGUCAAAAGUUAGAGUAUGGUACCAACUUAAUUAGUUGGACACUAUUCUUUCUGAUGUCAUUUUUCUUUUAUAACUUAUAAAAAAAAUAUUACACUUGUUGUCAUUUAGUUAUUGUGCAUGCACUAAAUUAUUGUUUUCUUCUUAUUACUCUUCUUCGUCUUCUUCUUUUCCAUCCUAAUUUCAAGGAAAUGAAACAAGGCAACUCUUCUUCAUCCUAAUUUGUCAAUGAUAAUGAUUCAAAUUUUGAUUUUUUAUAUAAAUUUUGAAUGCUUUUGAUUUGGCAAAAUACUAUUAUUUGCAAAAUUUUAUGUAUUGAUUUAAAUUCAGUUAUGUUUCUUUUCUUUUUUAUUGUUUUUUGUAUUAAAGUGCGGGUAAUGGGCGCGAGUACGGACAUUUAGAUGUCCAUAGGGCAUGGGGACGGGUAGUAAAAUUGUUGCCCACGAGGGUAUGAGUUCGGGUACAUGUAUUUUUUACAAAUACGGGUAUGGGGACAAGCAUUAUAGUACCCUGCCCAUUGGGGACGCAUUGCCAUCCCUACGUGUUGUUCAUCUAUAUACACUACAUGCUGAACGAAAAUGGCUUAAGAACAAUAUUUCUCAAUUUUGGUAUAGAUGAUAAUAAAGUACAAAAGAAAAAUUUAUUUUCUCAUGCUUGUUUCAUGUGAAAAAAAAUAUUUUAAUAAAUUUAUCCUUUUAGCACGUGAAGAGAUCGAAUGACCAUACGAUAAUGAGUAAAUGGAUGACACCUUAUUUAAAUUUAUAGAUAAUGAGUUAAUAUGAUUAUAUAGUAUUGAAAUUAAGUGAUUAUAAGAAUAAUGUUUCAACUAUUAGUAAAUUAUAUGGAAUUUGUAAUUAUUGUUUUCUGAAUCAAGUUCAAAACUGAAAUAAAGGAUUUUAAGAGUAAAUAUUUUUUUCAUAAAAAUAAAACAACGCAUUUUCAAAUUUAAGUUUUGAUCAAUCAGUUAAUGAUACCAAAUACGUAACUAUAGUUUUUGCUGUAAAAAAAGUGAAACUAUUUUUUUUAAUCAAGUUCGGAACAAAAAUAGAGGAUUUUAAGAGUAAGUACUUUUUCCUUAAAAACAAAAAGAUUAACAGAUUUUUCAAAUUUAAGUUUUGAUCGAUAAUAUUAAUAAUGAUACCUGUAACUAUUGUUUUUUCUGUAAAAAAAGAAUGUAACUAUUUCUAGUAAAAAAAAAAAUGUAACUAUUUUUUAUCUGUAAUCUUGUUUUGUGAAGGAAGAGUAAAAGUAAAAUAAUAGCUUUAAGGGUAACAGAUACUUUUCAACGCAAAUAUUUAUUGUUUUAGGUUAUUAUAAUUGGAUUUUUUUUACUAUAUUAAGAGUUAUUUGGAAAAUUGCAAUAAUUUUUUUGAUAAUGAACAAAAUGUUGUUGAUAAUUUUUUUUUAAUUUUGAUUAAGGUAAACUACAAAAAAUAAAUUCACAGUAAUGAGAGAUGGAUUUGGAUACCCUAAACAUAUUCAACAUGAUUAAGUUAUGUUUGAAGUUUGUUUUUUACUAUCCUUUUUGAAGACAAAAUCCUUUAUGUUGUUUACAGACUCUAUUUUUUGCUUUAUGGCUGCUUAUAGCCUUAUUGUAUUGUAAUUAACACUUUUCAGCUCCCUUCGCACACCUUGUGCUUGAAGGACCGAUUACUUCUUUAAUAUAUUUCGCUUAUGGUCUGUUUGGUUGAGUAGAGAUUGUGAAGAGAGAUGAUGAAAAGAGAGAAAUUAAAGAGAAAUAGGUAACUUGUUGUGUUUGGAAUGAGAAGAAGUAGGGGAGAGAGGAAUAAUGUGUGGUCCUAUCAAAAGAUUCUUUCUACCCCUUGAAGCAGCGAAGAAAUGGGGAAGAAGAGCAAGUGUAUCGUGCUUUUACAAUUUAGUCUUUAUAGAAAAAUGUGCAAUUCAAAAAAUUUCACUUUUUAUGUGUAAAAUAAGUCAAUGGUAGGGGUAUUUUGAUACAUUUAAUAAUAAUCAACACUUCUCUCUUAUAUUUCUUUCAUAUCUCUUUUAUAUCAAACAAUACAUCAAAUCUACUCUAUUUCUCACUUAUUUCUCAUAUUUUUCUCUCUUUUCAAACUCUCUCUUACCUAUUUCUCUAUGCACAACUUCUCUCAUAAACCAAACACACCCUUAGGGUAUGUUUGUUUCAAGGGAAAGAAAGUGAUGAGGAGAGAAAGAUGAGGGAAAAAAAGCCUUUAUGUUGUUUGGAUCUCCCUAAAAAGGUGAAGGAAAGAAAGAAUUUUUGUGAGACCCACAUUAGAAACUUUUCUACCCAAACGGAAAGCUUUAGGAAUAUAAGUGAUUUGUUGAAAAUGUCCAAAAUGCCCAUAUUUUUAUUCUUUAUUCAUUUUACUAUGAAGUUGGUGUCUUUUUUCAUUUUUUUUUCUUUUCAAUUCAACGCUAAUCCUUUUUUUUUUUUUUGAAAUAAUUUGCUGCCUAACGUUUUUUUUUAGGAAUGCUGCCUAUCGUUUUGUUAGCACAUUGUUUUUAUUCAAAUUUUAUUUUUCCACUAAAACUAUAGACAAUUAGUUUAUAUAUACGGACAUAUUAUUUUUGUUUAAGGGUAUUAAUAUCAAUUACUAAAUUUAGGUCUUUCUUUCCUCCAACUUUCUAUUCCACUUUCUCUUGUACCAAACAACCAAAACAAUCCGCUUACUUUCUACUCUCUUUCUUUCCUUAGACAAUCUUUCUUUUCUUUCAUUUUCUUUGUGCAUUCAAACAAAGCUUUAGUUUCUUAAAAAAAAAAAUUAUGUUUGAAGUUCUUUAUUUUAGAAACGUUUGAAGAUAUAUCGUAUCAAUUUAGCAAAUGUAGAAUAUAUUAGUUUAUAUAAUAUUAAUUUGAGGACAUGUAUGUAUUGUGUUACAAACUUGAAACAAUACGUGCCAAAGUGUGAUUGAAUAAAAGAGGACUACAAAUGUGUAUAAAAAUAGUUUUUAAAAUUUAAGGACAUAUGUGUUGAGAUAGUCCUUUUCCAACUUGCAACUUCUUGUGUUGAGUAUGUGAGAUUGGAUUCAAUUUUUACAAAUGAAUCUGAAACAUUUUAGAUGAUAUAACAAAGAAUAGGACAUGUAUUGUUAGAUUUUAUUUGAAACAAUCUUGGAUUGAUAGACUAAUUAAUUAAUCCAUGGGGAUAAAUAGAGAGAGUGUUAGAAAUGGAGAAGUAGUCUUUCUCCAAAAAAAAAAAAAAAAAAGAAACGUAGGAGUGAAAGUUGAUAGGAGUGGGAGGAUUGUAGGAUUUUCUCAAGGAAUAUAUCUUAUCUUAUCUUAUUAUAUACAAAUGUAAAGAUGUGUUGCAUCCAAACUCUAGAAAAAUCCUAGAUUUAUCCAUGUUUUUUUUCUUACUAAAAUGGCCUCCCAUAGGCGCCAAAAUGCAAGGCCAUGUGACAUUUCUAGCCAUUGAUAAUAUUCAUCAAUCAAACCAUGUCAUUUGUAUCAAAGUUUCUUCUGUGACAAUAUUUGAAGUUUAUAAAAAGAUUUUGUUAGCCUAAAAAAGAAAACAAUAAUUUUGUUGCACCCUAAACAUAAAGGCUACAUUUAGACAUAGAUAAAUGCACUGUUCUAUGCACCUUUAUUACCACCAUAUACAUAAAUGCUAGUAUAUGGUAGACAUUGACUUUAGUUAGAAGAAUAACAAUAUUUCAAGUUUACAAAAAAGGCUAUACAUCUAGACAGAAAAGCUGCACUUAUUAUUAAUAAUAAGAGGGUUUGUCUUCUUUAGUUUCACUUUUUAAGCUACACAAUAAAAGGAUUCCGCCAAAACUUGAACUUAAUUAUUACUCCCUCCGUUUUAAAAUGAGUGUUGUUUUAGGUUUUUACACAUAUUAAGAAAUGCAAUGAUUAAAAAAAAGAUAAUGGUUAUUUUACCAAAUUAUCCUUAUUAACUAUUUGUUAGUUUUAAAAGUAAUACUUUGGAGGGUACAAUUGAAAAGAAAAAAUUAUUAUUGCAUUGGAAACUGAAAGUGACAUUCAUUUAAAAUAAUUUUUUUUAGCUAAAACAACACUUAUAUUGUGGUCAUCAUUAACCCGUGCGAAGCACGAAAGCGCCGUCUAGUGUAGAGUAAACUUCAACAUUUAUAUGGUGAGUAAACAUAUAAUUAGUUCAUGUCACAAUUUAUGUUGCAGUGUUCAUAAUGAUGGCUAUGACAACGACCACAAUGACAUCGCUACUAAUUGAUUCACAAACUACGGCUACCGCACAAGAAAAUGAGACUUUUGGAGAUCUUUAUAGUUGACUUUUAUUUUUGUCAAGUAUGACAUUCUCUUUUAGAUCGGUCUACAUAUAUUGCUGCUUUCGUUGUAUUUACUUCAAAUUAAUUUGCUUUGUAAUGGGAUUUGUUGUGGUCUUAUAGAAAAACAAAUAUUGAGAUGAAUUUUUUUUUUUCCGGUAUGAUGUUGGUUUUUGUGAACAUGAUUAAGUCUUUAAUUGUCCUACAACAAAAUUUACUUAUGAUUCACAUAGACAUCU
rnacentral:lncRNA from 1 species